rnacentral:tRNA from 1 species
GGUGACAUGGCUCAGUAGCAGAGUGUUUGCCUAGCAUGCAGGAGGCCCUGGGUUCCAUCCUCAGCACCA